GGUAGCAUGGCCGAGCGGUCUAAGGCGCUGGUUUAAGGCACCAGUCAUUUGCGAUGGCGUGGGUUCGAAUCCCACCUGUCU
rnacentral:tRNA from 1 species